rnacentral:lncRNA from 1 species
GCAGACGUAUGAGUCCCAACUCCACCCAGUCCGGCCUGGCCUCUGUCCCCGGGUGACCGCGGAAUGGGGGGGCGGGAGCUAGCGAGCAGGCCCUCAAGCGCGUCUGGCCGCCUCCUUUGUCUUGAUGCCCACGUCUGGUUAGGACCCCUGCUGUCCAUUUUAUUAAAGGAGCUGUAGAAAGCGGCCUGGGGCCCAGCGACCUGCCCAGGGCGGACGAGGAGGCGCGACUGGCCCGAUGCCGCAGGCUCUCUGCCCAGUGUGCUCAGGUGGGAGGGCGGGGACAUGAAUCGAGCCACAGAGUGCCCUGGGCACGGACCCCCCGCCCCCCCCGGCCCCGGGCCCCGAGCCCCGAGCCCCGAGCCCGGCCACCGAAGCCCGUGCCACUCGCCAGCUCCUGCGAGACGAGCCUUUCGAGCGCAGCUCAGGCAUUUGGUUCAGGGUCCUACUGCCGGAGUCGUCUGAGGCCUCCAUCCGUCUGUCGUCACGAAAAAGGUUUUGGGGGGACUAAUAAGCACUUCCUGAAUGCACAUUUGCUCCACGCCCCUGCUGUAGGGAGAGGGUCUGCAGACACUUCAACAAAUAGAAUCCUAGGACCUUACCUGUGAGUACAAGAGCUGGAAUCUUCCCACCAACUUCUUAAAAUUCAAUCCUAUACUUGGUCCAUUUAGCUUAGACUGGAAAUUUCCCAAGGCAGUUUGUUUUGCAAUCUUUUGCAUGAUUUUAGCUCUGUAUAGUUUAGUGAAUGUUUAUGGUACUGAAUAAAACAGUCUAAAAACGUUGGG